CAACGUCAAGCCAUUUUCCCAAUGAAAAUAAACAAACACUUAAUAACUACUAAACACUUUUUCUCAAAUAAAGAUGAAAAAGGAACAUGAUGGAUAUCACGAGCUCCAGAGGCUAGGAAAUGAGAUGAAUAUCUCGCCCAUCCGAGUUCUCGUCAUCCCAUAAAAAACAUUCAAUGCGAUUGAUGUAAACUUUUUCUCAAUCAAAAACCUCAAAACAUCUAAAAAUAUCAAUCCCUUUUUGCAAAUAAGAUGGAUAUCUCGCCCAUCCAAAUUAUCGUCAUCACUCAAAAUACAUCCAACAUAUCAAACUUUUUUCUCGCCGCCACACAAUGAUCUUAAAACCCUUUUCACAAACGAAAGGUAUUUUGUCUCGAGACAAUGCAAGACAACACUUCAUCCACUUAUUUGUGUGAGUAAGCUAGCAACAUUUUCCCACGAAUGUUAAUAUUUAUGUCCACUCUACCGUGAUGAAAACGUUCCCUUCUCCACUAUUUUGGGUAGUAAGGGAUAUUUUUCCGUCGAUUGUUAAAAAU
rnacentral:lncRNA from 1 species